rnacentral:rRNA from 1 species
GAUUAACGCUAGCGGCAGGCCUAAUACAUGCAAGUCGAACGGGAUUCAAAGUAGCAAUAUUUUGAUGAGAGUGGCGCACGGGUGAGUAACACGUAUGCAAUUUACCUUUAACUGGGGGAUAGCCCUCCGAAAGGAGGAUUAAUACCGCAUAAUAUAUUGAAAUGGCAUCAUUUUAAUAUUAAACCUACGGGGGUUAAAGAUGAGCAUGCAUCCGAUUAGCUAGUUGGUGUGGUAACGGCUCACCAAGGUAACGAUCGGUAGGGGGUCUGAGAGGAUGAUCCCCCACACUGGUACUGAGACACGGACCAGACUCCUACGGGAGGCAGCAGUAAGGAAUAUUGGACAAUGGAGGCAACUCUGAUCCAGCCAUGCCGCGUGAAGGAUUAAGGCCCUAUGGGUUGUAAACUUCUUUUAGACGGGACAAAACCCCUUUACGUGUAAAGGGUUGAUGGUACUGUCAGAAUAAGCAUCGGCUAACUUCGUG